UUAUUUUAUAAAAAUAAUAAUUUGCAGUAAAAACUGCCAUUGAGACCUAAUAAUCAGACUUCAUUCACUACUAUACAGAGCUCUUUUCUUUGAAAGGAGUUCAGAUUUUUUCAGUAAUGACCUCUAUUAGCACCCAUAUAGACAGGAAGAGCAAGCAAGUGCUCAUAUCCUAGCCAACACCUUUUUGAAAGAGAUUGAAUAGAGUGCUUUAAAUUCAAAUGGUAUGUUUCCAAAUAUGUAUGAAAGAAAAUCAACCUGUCCAAAAAAUGAAUGAAAAUAAUGUGCAGGAGUAUGACAGAACGUUGAAACUUUUCCUGAUGUCCUGUUCACGGUAUUUUCAUGUCACUUGUGUAAAUUAUCAGAAAUUUACGCAUCAGUUUGGAACCUUACUUUAUCUCAUCUUUUUCAACAGGUUCUUUCAGUACAACCUCCUAUAUAUAAGCUACAUGAAUAAUCAGAGAUUCUGCUGUCUAAUUACCACAUAUGAUCUUGGGGAUCCUUUCAACAGUUCAAAUGCUCUCACUUCUAGAAAGCUGUAAUGCUUGAAUAUGAAAGAUUCCCAUAUCAUUGUCAUGGUCACAAAGUUAAAGUCUAGGUUGAAGGCUCUGGAAAAUGACUGUGGAAUAAUCCUUGACAGUUAAAACCUUCAUAUGCAUUUUUGGUAUAACUUAGUAUUAUCUUAGCCCAAAACAGGAUAGCAGAUAAAAACUUCUGGUCAGAUCAGAGCACUGAUUCCCUUGUAUUUGUAGUCAAGACUGUGUUUCAAACUCAAGCAAAAAUGUAGGGUGAAUCCUAACAAAGACCAACUUAACAAAAUUUUGGGUUUAUUUGUUUAUUUUUUGUAAGUAAGAAUAAAUUUUCCAGAUUCAGUGUAUAGAUUAAACUUUUUGCACAGCCUUUGCUUCUUUUCACAUACCACAAUUUGCUGGAACCAAUACUGCAUGAGAUAAUUCAUUGGAGAUAGAUGAUGCAAAUUCACCAGCUCAGCAUAUCCCUAUUGAAGACGUUGCACUAUUAGAUGUACACAAUAUGUUUAUUCUUCUUUCUCAGCAAUUAGCCUUUCUGAUACAGUCAGUGUUUCAUCUCAGCAUGAAAUAACAUUAGAUAACAUUGCAUUCUGAGGAAGUUGAAAAAACAGGGCUCCGCAAGUGAGAAUGAAUUAGAAAUGCUCUUGCAGUAGAGGCCCUAGAGUUACAAACAAGAAGCUGAUGAAUGUAUUUAGCAAGGGACUUUAAGUAAAAUCUCUCUUCUGCUGAAAAUUUCUUAUUCUUUAGAAUAUUCUGCUUCUGAAAGGCAUUUUUUGACAAGUGCCAAAAAUAAUUUCUAUACAUUGUUAGUACUUUCCCAAUCAGUCUUUUUUUGUUGUUGUCCUUGUUUGUUGUUUUAUUUUUAACAAAAUGCAUGUGGCCAGAGGACAUGUUAUUACUAUUGAUAUUCUGAAAAUGAGCAUGAUUGUCUGUGCAAUCUAAAUUUCUUUUGCAGAAAUACAUACAAUGGAAAGGUAAAUAAAGUGAUUAAGUCUUAAAGAAAAACAGGCCUGAGGGAUUAUAUUAUUCUUACCUAACUUGGAACACUUAGUAAGGCAAUAUCUCAGCUUGAUUAUAAUCAAUAAGAGUUUAUAUGAUGUGAUUAAUUUAACUUAUUUUGGAUACUUACAGUAGAACAUGAUGGACUGAGUCAUACCUAUAAUCAUAAUACUCUAUUACCUAUAAAAACAGCUUACAGUGACUAGCUAAGUAUCAAAUUAUAUCCCACAUCAGAUGAAUUUAACACAUAAAUUCUGUUAAUACCUGCUACAAAAUUGUAAGCCGUUUUUUCAAUACAAAUUUUUCCAUACAGGUGUGUUUUCUGACUUCAUUUCAUUCAGUCUGUAGACAUAUACAAACCGUAGAAUACUUUUUAAAUUUCUUUUUAAAAUCUUCUUAUUAUUGACAGUGCACUAGGAGGAACUAUAAAUGCAUUAUGUAUAUGUAUACUUCAUAUCUGAGGAUAACCACAGAUCAAUAAACACUGAUACUAGUUCUACAUUACCAAGUCAGAAAUUAUUUUGCACUAUUUUUGUUGAGUAACACUAUAGUGUGUAAUAUGCACGUGUAUACACAUACAUGCAUCUAACAAUGCAUAUAUAUUUUCAUUCGCAGUCUUUAUUUCACAUAAAAGACAAUAUGAAUUCUUCAGCCUUACUCAGACUUACUUGAGGAACCAUAUUGUAUAUUGUCCUAACAAUACCUGUGAAAAUUUUGUCCUAAGAAAUUCCCUUGUUUUUCCUAUAUUAGCAGUACCAGAUCCCCUCUAAAUGUAAUGCAGUUGGGUGUUUCUUUUUUUAUUCCAAUGCCUGUUUAGUUAAUUUUAUUUUACUGUCUUCAGCUUGCAUAGCAUUAGUACAAGAGCGACAUAACUAAAAGUCAUUAAAAUGUUUCUUUACAUUUCAGGAAACACAAUAGUUGAAACCCUUAUCCUAAUGAAUUCUGGCCCUGAAUUCUAUCGAAUCAGGAUUCUGUUAACUAACUUCUUGGUAAUGUAGUUUUUGGAAUAUAUGCUUACAGGAGACAGUCUUCUAUUCAGCAACAUUUCAUCCUUAUCUUUGCUUCCUGAUGCUAACUGAAUUGAAGCAAAAGCAGGAAACUGGGCCUUUUGCUUUUCCAAUAGAUGUAUGUGAUGCAGCAGAUAGUUACAAUCAGAUUGAAGACUACAUUUCAGCUGUCAAAUCUUUCCCAUUAGGACUCAUGAGAAUGAUUUCCGAGAUUGUCGAAGCCCUAAAUUGCUACUGAAUGACCUGAAUAUUCUUAAUUUUUCUACCAGAAUAAAUAAUGUGAUUCUUUUGUACAAAGUGGGAAAGGUUCCACAAUUUUAGUGGCAUUUUGAAAAGAGGUACAUCUGAUUAAAUGAAAAAGGCUAUGUGUUGGAUUUCACUUUGUUUUGCAAUUUCAGAAUAUCUGAAAUAUUUCUGUAUAGUUUGUAAGAGUUUCAUGCUGUUCCUAGGGUGUAGUUCAUUGUCCUAAAGUAUGCUUUUAGCUAUCAGUAUUAAAAUUGCUACAAAACUUUGAAGAGCGCAAUGGAAUAAUUACCUUUGUGAGUAAAGCGCCUAUAAAGGCAAGAUGAAUCAACGAGCUUAAGCUACAUGUUCCAAUAAGAUUUCUUUUUUUUCUUUUCUUCUUUUAUAAUAAAAGCUUGUAAGAAUCCUAGAACCUCUGAUUCAACAACUUUAAGCUUAAGGCAGGCCCAUUCAGAAAGCAAUUAAAGAUGCCAUGGGUAGAGGGCUUUGUGAGGCAUUUUCUGCUUACUCCUUCAUGCAAAAGGCGUCUCCCAGCACUGUUUCCACUAAAUAUUUGACUUUAAACCCUCUUUUAUUAUUUAAAAAAUCCAAAACUUUAAAGCUGUGCAGAUUUGAGAUACUUAAAUAGGAUGUUCUCCUGCAUCCUGAAAAAAAGUCUGUCUGAAGUUAUAGUAGAUCAGGAUUAUCUUGGUGGAAUGACACUUGGUUUUAAACAAUGUAUUUUCUGUAAUUUUGUUAUGACUUUUUUUCACAUACACAGAAUACAACUUAUACAGUACCGAUAUCUAGAAUGCUACUUUGCUUAGUUUAUCUAGAGUUGAUACCUUUUUGUAUUUAACAUACGGCCAUUCUUAUAUUACUGUACCUUUCUGCUCACUGUAUCAUUAGCACAAAAAAAGAAGAAAAGGUCUCUGAAUUCCUUUUAUUUCUAGUUUCCAGAAAGACUCUAAGCAUCUUUAGGAUCUGAAUGAUACCUUUCUGGCUAUGUUCUGUCAUUGCAGCUGUAGACUUGGAAAGUUCUUUAUUUUUUAGUUCUGCUUACUACAAAUUUUGGAAUUUAAGGCCUACAGUUCUUCAGAAGUUUGAGCAUCUUAUUACGAUCAGAUUUGUUAGGAUAUCACAGGCCUUUUCAAAGCUUGGAUUAGGAAUUAGUAUCUGCCUUGGAGACUAUUGUGGUUUGUUUUAAUUCUUAACUAGUCUACAUUUGUCUUCUAAAUGUACUUCUGAAAUUUAAACACUUUGUAUCAUGAAGGCGGCUAUGGUUGCAUGAUUUUUGAUAACACAUCUCUGUUAAAUAUUUAAAUGGUUAUUUCAUACAUAGAGUUUUGAAACCCCAGUUGUCUAAAUAAGUCUCUACCUUGAGAAAAUAUUUCAGAAAAAUUUUCAUAAUCAUCAGUGAAAUAACAAGUAAAGACAACAGUCUUGCCAAAGAAUUAAAUGCUGGCUGCAGAAGCUAUGUAAGUAUCCUAAUGAGUUGAAUGAGGAAAAAAUACCUCUUGGAAGUUAAAUAUUUUAUUUUAAUUAUUUAUUUAUUGAGUGGCAUCUUCAAGUAAAUUCAUGCACAACUCAUAAUGUAACAAGACUAGACGUUCAGAAAUUUUUGAAGUGAAUCAGUGUGGCUCACUGUUUUUUCUGUUGAUUGGAGCAGUUGUAGAGGUAAUAAGACUGAUUGCAAUAAGAAAGUCUUGACAUAAAAUAGCUGCUAAAAUGUGUUAAGGAAAAGUCUGCCAACUAGAAAGCUGAACCUGAGAGCUAGAAACCUUGAGGUACGACUGAACAUCUCUUAUGGAUGGUACCCUGAACAUACUACUCCAUUGUUAAGACCAAAUAGAGGAAGGGAGGAAUGUUUUAUCACCUAAGGAAGGGGAGAUCAGUGUGAGGAAUAAACUUUAGAUGAAAUAAGAAAUAUUAUCUAUAGACUGUAUCAGGAAGAGGACCUAAACUAACAGGACCAAUUUUUUACCUAAGCAGUGGUGUCCUACUAAAAUGACGAUUUUUGCACAAGAUGGAGCUUCCUUCUGAGAAACUUCCAGUGUUCUAUGUUCUGUUUCUUUGUCCUGGUUUCUUUUUUUUUUCCUUAAACAGGCUGAAGUUUCACUGAAACUUUGGUUUGACCAUGUGCCUUGACAGCAUUGACUCCAAAACUCUAACACUCCAUGCCUGGUGAUACUGAUCAGUGUUGAAGUGAGACUCCACUUUAUACUCCUUUUGAGCCUUUUUCUGUGGACAGACUGUUUUCUUUUGAUAACUGUUUUAUUUUGAACAUUUGGCAGUCAUUUUUCUUUGUGGCAGUUGCUUCAUUUUUUACUCUUGUGGUGGUUGGUUUUCUUUUUGGUAAUUAUUUUUUGUCUUUUUGGUAUUUGAUUUUCUCUUGGAGAUUGUUUUAUUGACACACACACUACAUUCUUUCCCCCUUCUGGGAUCUGUUUGAUGCAAUUGGUAACAGUAAUUCUAUGAAUAUGUAUGUAUAUAAUCUGUCAUAAGUCUAGUCUUGACAAGUUUGCAUUUUUACUGUUGUAAUAUUCUUGCUAGUUGUAACAGAAAUGCUAAGUCAUGGUCUGAAACAGUGACUGAGUACCUGGUGGGAAAGCAGGACCAACCCAGAGGAACUCAGGUGCAUGCAAUGAACCUGAGUAACCAGAAGGAGUGCAUCCUGGCUCCACCCCUUCCCAGACCUCAUUUAAGGGUUGGAAGUGGAGGUGAGAGUGUUUUGCUGGAGAUCUUUCCCUAUCUGAGGCCUUCUGAAGGUAAGUGGUUUUUCUUCAUUUCUGUGGCUGCUGUAUCUGGGCUUCUUCUUGUUUGCUGUAGCCUGGGGUUGUGCCACUCUGCUGUUAUUGCUGUACUUUCUAUCAUGUUACAGUAUUUCACUAGUGGUGAAUUGUGUUGAUUUCUAAUAAACAGAAAUAUUUAGUGAACAAAGCCUUUGUGUUUUUAAUAUCACAGAAUCCUACAUCCAUGAUAUUUUAUGAUUGUUAAGUACCCUUAGGUUAGGUAGCUUCCUUUCUCUUUUGGGCUGUGACAGCUACUUAAAAAGCUGAAAAAUAAGCAGUCUCAGCUGGAUUGACUGCAGUGGGAUUUAGAAGUCUAGAAGUCAUUUCACAUUGAGUCUGGAUUUAUUUCAUAGUUAUGCAAUGAUAAUUGUGUUAUUUAUUAUUAUUGUACUUGUAUAUUAGUAUUUUAGUUGUAUUUAUAUGGUACCAUCAAGUAAACUGUAUGAAUUUAUAACUCAACUGAUCAGAGUAAGUGAAAGUUGCUCAUGUUCUUAAAACUAAGUAUGCCUACUAAUGUAUAUGUUAAUUGUUUUAUUUGGGCUACACAGCUGGUAGUGUGAGAAAGUAUAAAUUUUAUCUAAGUAAGAUUUUUCUGGAAUAAAGAAGAGCAUAAGAUCAAUACUGUAGUAGGGCCAGAAGGAUAUAGGUUACUGGAAGAAGACUACUUAAUGAAGUGUACAAAAAUAAAUUGACAAAAAAAGUAAAUUAGCAAAAGUCAAUUUCUUACACUCUGACUUUUGAGUCCUAAAGGAAUUGGGUUUUGAAAGCACCACAAAUUAAAAGCAGAGUAAGAAGCUGUUUGAUUAAAUGCAGACUAAAGUUUAUAAAAAUCACUUAUUGCUAGUUAUUUGUGAUUUGUUAAGAGUAAUUUGGUUCAGUUUAUUGAUCAAACAAGCUUUGGAGGACAGGGGAAUUAAGCUUCUGUCUAGUACAUGUGAUCUGAAAUAUAUCAAUAGAUAGCUUCAAAAAUUUUAAACUAGCUCAAGCACUUCAGAAAGUUAUUUAUUUUAUUUCUUUAGUGACAAACUGGCCUCUCUUAUGCCUGAUAUACCAGGACCGUUUGCCGCCUGAUAGACUGAGAAAAUACUAUGGCAUUAUAUUUUGCCUCUGAAAAUGAAAUCUGGAAGUGACUUUUAUUUACUUGCCUUAAUACAGUAAUUUAACAAAACAAGUUUCAGUGGAAUAACACAGCCAUGCAGCUGCUUUCCUCCUUGAAAGCAAGUGUUCAAACAUUCUGUCAGUUUGAGAAGGCUGGGUUGUGUAGUUUUAUCCUAAUUUUUGGUGGACAUUUGUCUUAAUGUGUAAUGAAUGACAAUCUGGCAUGGUUAACAGACUUCACUCUUGAAACACUCAGGACCAGAAGAACAGAGGCAUUGGAAGCCAAGUCUGCACAACACAGAGUGGGACACAUGGAGAACCUUGCUAUACAGUACAUUUUUUUACAGAUGUGACUGGUAUACCUGAGCUUAACUUCCAUGUAUAUUUUCAGAGUAAAAUCUCUAGACUCUUUUCAGUAGUGCCCAGUACCAGGACAAGAAGUGAGCGAAAACUGGAACAUAGGAGUUUCCAUCUCAACUGUCAUCUAUGAUUCUGUGAUCUGGAAGAAAUUAUGAUACUUGCAGAAAUGGAAAAGCAGUGUUGAAAGAAAUCUUUUUCAAAAUCAAGAGUGGAGGAUUUAUCAGUCCAGACUCGGAGAAUAUAGUGCAUGUUGUCCAGCUGUCACAUCACAAAGCUGAGAAGAAGACAUGCAAAAUGAAGAUGUAGGCACAAAGGCUGAAGGCAGAUGGGACCUGUAGUGAACUGCUGUGCUUGUGUUUCUUUCUGUUACUAAAAGGAAUUUGUUACGCUAGUGAUUUUAAAUGAUUUGUGGCUGACAGUUUUAGGUUUAAUAAUAGUAAACCAGACAACAUCUGGCAUGGUGAAAUAAAAUUAUUUGAUAUGUAACUUAGCUCACACCCCCAACACACACACACAAAUGAAAAUUAAUGUGCAAAUAAGAAACUUUUUUUGAAGUACAUAUUGAGCCAUCAUUUUUAAUGGAUAACAGAAGAACAUGGGAUGAAGAUUUUUUCCUGAAGUUUUAUUACAUAAUUAAUCCAAAUUUCUUUGUGUAAUUUGGAAGCUUAUAAUGAGAACAGGUAUUAUUCCUCCCCAGAUAUUACCAUCUUUUAAAGAUUUUUUUUAAUAUUUGUGUUAGUAUUAUGGUUAUUUCUGCUUUAGUUCUUCUUCUGAUGCCUUCUUGAAUGGGCAGUGUCAAGGCCAUGUUCAACAAUGGCAAAUCACAAAAAAAUAUUUUUUUCAUAAAGUCAUAAAUUCCUCUUCAUGAACUGCAAAUGAGUCUGUACAUGAAAAUGUGGUGCUCAAAUUCAUUGAUAAUGAGAGUAUACCUCACUGGAGUUUUUACCAUAUUACCUAAAAUGAAUGCGUGCUUUAAGACGUGUGAUUGGCUGAAUGACUCUGUAUUUCUGUGUGGCUGUGUGCAUGAAUACACAUGCAUGUGUACAGUUAUUUUAACUGGGAAUGUAAAGGCUCUAGAGGUGAGUCCGAAAUAGCAUAGAAGUCUACUCUUAUUUUGAUUAAAUAAAAUAUUAUUGCUC
ensembl:lncRNA